rnacentral:rRNA from 1 species
GACCAGACUCCUACGGGAGGCAGCAGUGGGGAAUAUUGCACAAUGGGGGAAACCCUGAUGCAGCGACGCCGCGUGAGUGAAGAAGUAUUUCGGUAUGUAAAGCUCUAUCAGCAGGGAAGAAGUUGACGGUACCUGAGUAAGAAGCCCCGGCUAACUACGUGCCAGCAGCCGCGGUAAUACGUAGGGGGCAAGCGUUAUCCGGAUUUACUGGGUGUAAAGGGAGCGUAGACGGCAGUGCAAGUCUGAAGUGAAAGCCCCGGGCUUAACCCGGGAACUGCUUUGGAAACUGUACGGCUGGAGUGCUGGAGAGGUAAGCGGAAUUCCUAGUGUAGCGGUGAAAUGCGUAGAUAUUAGGAGGAACACCAGUGGCGAAGGCGGCUUACUGGACAGUAACUGACGUUGAGGCUCGAAAGCGUGGGGAGCAAACAGGAUUAGAUACCCCGGUAAA